CCCGGUCUUUAGAGCGAUGUGGUCCGACCUCUUCCCAUUCCGAACAGAGUCGUCAAACGCAUCAGCGCCUACGAUAAUGCCAGCACGAGCUGGUGUGAAAAUAGGUCAAGGCCGGGA
rnacentral:rRNA from 2 species